GCCGGGAUAGUUCAGUGGUAGAACGUUUUCUUGGUAAGAAAAAGGUCAUGGGUUCAAUUCCCAUUCCCGGCU
rnacentral:tRNA from 1 species